rnacentral:rRNA from 1 species
GACGAACGCUGGCGGCGUGCUUAACACAUGCAAGUCGAACGGAAAGGCCCUGCUCUUGUGGGGUGCUCGAGUGGCGAACGGGUGAGUAACACGUGAGUAACCUGCCCUUGUCUUUGGGAUAACUUCAGGAAACUGGGGCUAAUACCGGAUAGGAGCUCCUGCUGCAUGGUGGGGGAUGGAAAGUUUCGGCGGUGGGGGAUGGACUCGCGGCUUAUCAGCUUGUUGGUGGGGUAGUGGCUUACCAAGGCUUUGACGGGUUGCCGGCCUGAGAGGGGGACCGGCCUCAUUGGGACUGAGAGACGGCCCAGAAUCCUACGGGAGGCAGCAGUGGGGAAUAUUGCACAAUGGGCGGAAGCCUGAUGCAGCAGCGCCGCGUGCGUGAUGACGGCCUUCGGGUUGUAAACCGCUUUCGCCUGUGACGAAGCGUGAGUGACGGUAAUGGGUAAAGAAGCACCGGCUAACUACGUG